rnacentral:rRNA from 1 species
CAGCAGUGGGGAAUAUUGCACAAUGGGCGCAAGCCUGAUGCAGCCAUGCCGCGUGUGUGAAGAAGGCCUUCGGGUUGUAAAGCACUUUCAGUCGUGAGGAAGGCGGGUACGUUAAUAGCGUAUUCGUUUGACGUUAGCGACAGAAGAAGCACCGGCUAACUCCGUGCCAGCAGCCGCGGUAAUACGGAGGGUGCGAGCGUUAAUCGGAAUUACUGGGCGUAAAGCGCAUGCAGGUGGUUUGUUAAGUCAGAUGUGAAAGCCCCGGGGCUCAACCUCGGAAUAGCAUUUGAAACUGGCAGACUAGAGUACUGUAGAGGGGGUAGAAUUUCAGGUGUAGCGGUGAAAUGCGUAGAGAUCUGAAGGAAUACCGGUGGCGAAGGCGGCCCCCUGGACAGAUACUGACACUCAGAUGCGAAAGCGUGGGGAGCAAACAGGAUUAGAUACCCUGGUAG